rnacentral:lncRNA from 1 species
CAUUGACGACGAAGAGGAUGCUGGCAACUUGUGUCACGAUUAUGAGCAGCUCUGUACAACAUAGACAUACAGAUGUACCGAAUAUCUCUACCUAUCCUUCAACACAUCAUCACAGUUGAAUUAAAAUACCUCUGAAGAGGGAGCCGCGCGCUCGCUACUUCUUUGCCCUGUCGCCCGGGACUACUAAAGUACUAACAACUCCAGCAUCGAUCGUUGUUCUUCCUCCUCUCCUGUCGCGCCGCUGCAUUUGCUUCUUCCUCCACAGCUCGUCGCUCGUCGCGCCUGCUGCCACCAAAGUCAGCUCAGACUAGCGAACGCCAGAAGAUACGAGCAGUACGAUCAGCUCGAUCAAAAAUACCCCGGUCGAUAAGAGCACACUUGUCAAGUGUCGGCAAGUCAUCUCUGGCGUCGGAGUCGGACCGAUGCUUGCUUUUCUUUCCCAAAAUCGCAGCCUUCUUUACCUCAUGGGUCGGUAGAGCUUUUCGAACAAGAGCUUCGAGGGUGGAAACUACCCUAUGUCAUUAGGAUUCGAUUCUGACUUUGAUUUAAUCUGGUCAUGACUUCGGAUGCUUUUGAAAAUCCUAUAUUUCUGAGAUAAAAUUCGACAAAAAAUCUAGAUUAAAUUUCUUCUGGUCUAAAACUUAAAGCAGAUUUGGCAUGUACAAAAAUAGUUUUAGUUCCUGGAAUAUUCCCUCGUACAAUAUUACAGAAGUAUACAAUCAACAUGAUAAUAAAAUGUGAC